rnacentral:rRNA from 1 species
UAGAUUUGGGGGGUGGUGGCUGCGGUAGUAGGGAUGGGGUGAGCGUGGUCCGUGAACGUUGGGCGUAAAGGGCGUGUAGGCGGUCCGGUAAUCCCGUGGUGAAAUGGGGUGGCUCAACCCUCGAAUGCCGGUGGUUACUGUCGGGCUAGAGUGCGGAAGAGGCGAGUGGAAUUCAUUGUUUAGCGGUGAAAUGCGCAGAGAUCAGGAGGAACACCAAUUGCGAAGGCAGCUCGCUGGGACGUAACUGACGCUGAGACGCGAAAGCGUGGGGAGCAAACAGGAUUAGAUACCCCGGUAGUC